AUACGGAAGGUCCGGGCGUUAUCCGGAUUUAUUGGGUUUAAAGGGAGCGCAGGCGGAGAUGCAAGCGUGACGUCAAAUUUCGGGGCUCAACCCCGUCUCGCGUCGCGAACUGCGUCCCUUGGUUGCGGGAAGGGAAGGCGGAACUCGUGGUGUAGCGGUGAAAUGCAUAGAUAUCACGAAGAACUCCGAUCGCGAAGGCAGCCUUCCGGCCCGUCAACGACGCUCAUGCUCGAAGGUGCGGGUAUCAAACAGGAUUAGAUACCCUGGUAGUCCGCACAGUAAACGAUGGACACCCGCGGUUUGGCCUGUAUGGCUGAGCCGCCAAGCGAAAGCGUUAAGUGUCCCACCUGGGGAGUACGCCGGCAACGGUGAAACUUAAAGGAAUUGACGGGG
rnacentral:rRNA from 1 species